CCAGCAACCCAGAAAACAGACAAUAGGAAGUAGCUCAGACAGCAGCAACUCAUUAACUUGUUUCUCAUAAAAGCUAAAAGCAACCCAAAAAUUCUGAACUUAUAAAGAUGAUAUACCACAUAAUCCAGUUAAUCCCAUCCUGUAGCAGCAGGAAGCUCACCCUCCAAGGGAGCAGCCGGAUCCCAUCCUCCAACAGCAACAGGAGUAACACCAACAGCUGGAGCUGCAGCAGCAUCCCAACCACCUUCAGCCGCAACUUGGGGAGCACCCCAAUCAGCUCCAGCAGCCUGAGGAACGGCUUGGGGUGGAUAAUCAACACCAGACCAAUUGUCCACUACAGGCCCAGGAACAUAAUCAACAUUUGGAUUAUAAUCAACCACAGGAGCUUCCCCCUCUUCCUGCUCCUUUGCCUCUUCAGGAUCCCUAUAGAAGAACAAGUCAACCAUAAUGUCCCAUUUGUGACCAAGUGGAAUAGCACCACGCAUUUGCAGGACCAUCCUUGCCAACAACCAAAAGAGGCAACCAAUACUCAGCUUACCCUUGUUAUUAGCAGGGAUGCCAAUGUCGACAAACCGCAUCGGUGAAUCGGUGUCACAGAAUGCAAUGGUUGGAAUGUUUCCAAGAGCACCUUCCUUAAUAGGCUGGUGGUCAGUUCUGGGAUCGGUAAGGAUGAGAAGACGAGGCUCACUAAAAGAAGUCUGCAGCUGGUUGGUGAAGGUACCAGGCGUGUGGCGUCCUGCAAUGGGAUGAGCACCAGUAUAUUGUGCAAACUUGAGGACAGCCCUCUGACCGUAAGGUCUGGCAGAUUGGACAAUGAUAUCUUGUGGAUUCUCAAUGGCAACAAUAACCCUA
rnacentral:misc_RNA from 1 species